CUUGGAAAAGCCUUUGAGGGCUACGUCAUCCCGAUCGUAGUAAGAACUCUACAGGAAAAAACAACUUGCUACAAUUCAACUUCACAAAGAUUGAGUGCAAACUCGAUGGCAGCCAAAGGGGAGGCCCAUUCCUGCUCGGCGGGAGAA